GAGUAACGCGUGGGUAACCUGCCUUAUACAGGGGGAUAACAGUCAGAAAUGGCUGCUAAUACCGCAUAAGCGCACAGAGCUGCAUGGCUCAGUGUGAAAAGCUCCGGUGGUACAGGAUGGAUUCGCGUCUGAUUAGCCAGUUGGUGGGGUAACGGCCUACCAAAGCAACGAUCAGUAGCCGGCCUGAGAGGGUGAACGGCCACAUUGGGACUGAGACACGGCCCAAACUCCUACGGGAGGCAGCAUG
rnacentral:rRNA from 1 species